AACGAACGCUGGCGGCAGGCCUAACACAUGCAAGUCGAGCGCGUAGCAAUACGAGCGGCGCACGGGAUAGUAACGCGUGGGAACCUACCUUUCGGUACGGAAUAACAUCGGGAAACUGGUGCUAAUACCGGAUACGCCCUUCGGUGGAAAGAUUUAUUGCCGAUAGAUGGGCCCGCGUUGGAUUAGCUAGUUGGUGAGGUAACGGCCCACCAAGGCAACGAUCCAUAGCUGGUCUGAGAGGAUGAUCAGCAUCACUGGGACUGAGACACGGCCCAGACUCCUACGGGAGGCAGCAGUGGGGAAUAUUGGACAAUGGGGGCAACCCUGAUCCAGCCAUACCGCGUGAAUGAUGAAGGCCUUCGGGUUGUAAAGUUCUUUUGGUGGGGACGAUGAUGACGGUACCCACAGAAUAAGCUCCGGCUAACUUCGUGCCAGCCGCCGCAGUAA
rnacentral:rRNA from 1 species